UAACCCUGAACACACCCAAUCUCAUCUGAUCUCAGAAGCUAAGCAGGGUUGGGCCUGGUUAGUACUUGGAUGGGAGACCACCUAGGAAGACUGGC
rnacentral:rRNA from 1 species